rnacentral:rRNA from 1 species
GACGAACGCUGGCGGCGCGCCUAACACAUGCAAGUCGAACGGAGCUGAGAGAAGCUUGCUUUUCUUAGCUUAGUGGCGAACGGGUGAGUAACGCGUGAGUAACCUGCCCUGGAGUGGGGGACAACAGUUGGAAACGACUGCUAAUACCGCAUAAGCCCACGAUCCGGCAUCGGAUUGAGGGAAAAGGAUUUAUUCGCUUCAGGAUGGACUCGCGUCCAAUUAGCUAGUUGGUGAGGUAACGGCCCACCAAGGCGACGAUUGGUAGCCGGACUGAGAGGUUGAAGGGCAAAAUUGGGAAUGGGACACGGCCCAGACUCCUACGGGAGGCAGCAGGGGGGGAUAUUGAAAAAUGGGGGAAACCCGGAUGCAGGGAAGCCGGGUGGAGGAAGAAGGUUUUCGGAUUGAAAACCCCUGUCGUUAGGGAAGAUAAGGACGGUACCUAAAAAGAAAGCACCGGCUAACUAAGU